AAUUGAGAAUUCUUUCUACGUCUCUCUCUAUUUCUCAAUCCCAAAUUUUAGUAAUACAAAGCAAAGGAAAAGAGAGCAGUCAUUCCACCUUUGACAGCCAUUAAAAAGCUUUGAAUUUAAAUUUGGGUUUUCAAAAAUCAUUAUUUGUUUGGAUUGAGUGUUGUUGAAAAUAAUUGGGAAUAUGGUUUGGAGUUUAUAUCUCAAUUUUGAGGGGUUUGGUAAAGAUUAGACUUGGUUUUGGUUGAAUUUCGGAUUGGAACUCGAAAAAGAAGAAGACAUGACAUACAUUAUAUUACAGAAAUUGUACAAAAAUUGUAGACUGUUGUUUAUUUAUUUUUCUUUUAUGCAUUUACCUAUUGUAUGAAAUUUGAACAAUAUUGUAUAAAAAUUAUAUUUAAGUGGUAUUAUAUUGUAGUUGUAUAUAACUUAGUAGAUAUAAUGUACAAAAAUUGUAGAUAAUUUGUAGAUAAGUUGUAUAAUAUAUAAUUAGUUGUAUGAAAAUUAUUUUUUAUAAAUAAGAUACAAAAUAUACAAAAGACAUAUUGUAUAAAAGUUGUAUGUAAGUUUUAUGUUAUUGUAGUUGUAUUUAACUAGGUGGAAAUAAUGUGUGAAAGUUGUAGAAAAUUAUAGAUAAGUUGUAUUCUUCUAUAACGGGAGAUGUUGGCAUAUCAAGUAAUUUUAGUGUUCCAGACGAACAUGCAUGAAAAUAAAGAUAAAUUUUGUUAUGAACAGUUUGUAGAUAAUUUGUAGAAAUAUUGAAAUUCUGUAUUUUCAUAUUAAUUUUUCAAAUGAUAUGUAGUUUUAUUAUAGAAUAAAUGUAGAAAAUAAGCCAUUGUGAGUCUUAUUUGACUCAUUCCUCACAUCCAACCUAUUCUACAAAUUCACGCCUCUUUAAAUAUAAUACAACCAUACUUUCUUGAAUUUAAAGGUAUAGCAAUAUAUAUAACUUAAAAAACAUCUUCUCCUCUCCACAAGUUAGCUCUAAAACAGAAGAAGUGGAAUAACAAGCUCUCAUCAAAACGUUUAACACAAAAGCACAAAGCUCAAAAAUAAAUAAACAACAGUCUAUAAUUUUUCUACAAUUUCUGCAAUAUAAUGUAUGUCAUGUCUUCUUCUUCUUCUUCGAGUUUCAAUCUAAAAUUCAGCUAAAACCAAGUCUAAUUUUCACCAAAACCCCUCAAAAUUGAGAUAUAAACUCCAAACCAUAUUCUCAAUUAUUUACAACAACACCCAAUCCAAACAAAUAAUGAUUUUUGAAAACCCAAAUUUGAACAAAGCUUCAAAACUUUUUAAUGGUUGUCAAUAGUGGAAUUACUGCUCUCUUUUCCUUUCCUCUUAUAUUACUGAAAUUUGGGAUUGAGAGAGAGAGAGAGACGUAGAGAGAAUUCUCAAUUCGUUGCAACAACAUUCAAUCCAAACAAACAAUGUCUUUUGAAAACCUAAAUUCGAAUUCAAAGCUUCAAAACUUUUUAAUGGUUGUCAAUGAUUGAGGGGUUACAGAUUUUUGCUAGUUUUAGAAGAGGAAAUCGUGGGUGAUUGAAGAGGAAAUCGUGGGAAUUUGGAGAGAGAAACUUGGGGGAGUGGGAAUAUACGGUUGAGUAAAAUUAGGAUAUUAAUUAAUACCAUUAAAAUCCUAAAAUAGUACAUAAAUGGUAAUUAGGUAUAUAGAAGGUAAUUAUAUUAAAAGUUAAGCAUAGAGGGUAAUAUAGUUUACUAUAUGGCAUAGGAAUAUAAAAAUUCCUUAUUUUAAUAAAGAAAAAACACAAAAGUCCAAUCACUACUGGACGCUAAGUUCGGACCGAAAAAAUCAGGUGUCAUGCAGAAGCUAGCAAAGCAAAUCUUGAACGACGAUAAAUCAUACAACAAAGAGAAAUAUACCAAAAGAGACACAAAUAUCUAACGUGGUUCGGUCAACUGACCUGAGCAAUCCACUAUAUAAAAAGAGAGUACAAAAUAUCGAGAGAACAACCUAACGAAGAGGCAAACACAAGUGACACACUAACACUUGUCACGUAAAGUUAUCCCUCUAAACACAACUCUCAAGCCACAUAUGGCUACAUUGUGGAUGCUACUGAAUGAAAAGGAAGGAUCCUGAAUUUAUAGAAGUCCAAACUUUUUUCUAUAAGAAAAAAGACUAGCCAAAUAUGGAAGACUUAUAUUUUCCAUCUAGAAAAAGAAAAACCCUAUUAUGGUAAAUAUUUUGUCCUUUCCUUCAUGAGAUAGGAACACCAAAUAUGGUAAGAAAAUCAAGACAACACCUAACAAUUCUCCCCCUUAGCCUGAAUUUUCUGACAAAAUAAACUUGAUCCACCUUCUAGACAUAGCCUUCAACAUGUCGCAUCUCUAAAUUUCCACCACAAAGUUUGUCUCAACGUGUGUAGCACACCGAUCAAAUUUUUCAGACAAAAAUUACAAGUAUCGUCAAAUAUGUUGUAGCUAAAACUGAACCCGCUAAGAGGAACCUAUUUUCAACCUUGCUCUGAUAACACUUGUAUGUCGAGGAAGAGGCAAACCCGAAAAUAAAGAAGAUAAAGAACACCAAAUUUUAACGUGGAAAACCCUUCAAAUCGAAGGUAAAAACCACGGUAUUACAAAGAACUAAAAACUCCACUAUAACAAUAAGAGGGUUACAAAAGUUCUCCAAAUUGGCUACACAACAAAUAUUAAACACGGAGCAACAAUAGCAAUAAUAGCAAUAACUACUCAAUUUAAGAAAGAGGAGAAUCCACAAAAACGAUGCUGAUAUUCGAGGCUCGAAAUCAGAUGCUACGAGCCUCCAAAUCCGAUCUCCGUCGUUCAAAUCCAAGACCAAGAUGUUACAAAUACUCAGUCAAAAUUAACCCGAUCCAACGGUUAGCGAAUCGGAAAACGUGAUUUGAAGUUGGUUGGUCAGAAU
rnacentral:lncRNA from 1 species